GACGAACGCUGGCGGCGUGCCUAAUACAUGCAAGUUGAGCGCUGAAGGUUGGUACUUGUACCAACUGGAUGAGCAGCAAACGGGUGAGUAACGCGUGGGGAAUCUGCCUUUGAGCGGGGGACAACAUUUGGAAACGAAUGCUAAUACCGCAUAAAAACUUUAAACACAAGUUUUAAGUUUGAAAGAUGCAAUUGCAUCACUCAAAGAUGAUCCCGCGUUGUAUUAGCUAGUUGGUGAGGUAAAGGCUCACCAAGGCGAUGAUACAUAGCCGACCUGAGAGGGUGAUCGGCCACAUUGGGACUGAGACACGGCCCAAACUCCUACGGGAGGCAGCAGUAGGGAAUCUUCGGCAAUGGACGAAAGUCUGACCGAGCAACGCCGCGGGAGUGAAGAAGGUUUUCGGAUCGUAAAACUCGGUUGGUAGAGAAGAACGUUGGUGAGAGUGGAAAGCUCAUCAAGUGACGGUAACUACCCAGAAAGGGACGGCUAACUACGUG
rnacentral:rRNA from 1 species